UACGAAGGGGGCUAGCGUUGUUCGGAAUUACUGGGCGUAAAGGGCUCGUAGGCGGCCAACUAAGUCAGACGUGAAAUCCCUCGGCUUAACCGGGGAACUGCAUCUGAUACUGGAUGGCUUGAGAUUGGGAGAGGGAUGCGGAAUUCCAGGUGUAGCGGUGAAAUGCGUAGAUAUCAGGAGGAACACCGGUGGCGAAGGCGGGUCUCUGGGCCGAUACUGACGCUGAGGAGCGAAAGCGUGGGGAGCGAACAGG
rnacentral:rRNA from 1 species